rnacentral:rRNA from 1 species
AUUGAACGCUGGCGGCAGGCCUAACACAUGCAAGUCGAACGAGUGGCGGACGGGUGAGUAAUGUCUGGGAAACUGCCCGAUGGAGGGGGAUAACUACUGGAAACGGUAGCUUAUACCGCCUACCAUCCGAUUUGCCCAGAUGGGAUUAGCUGGUUGGUGGGGUAAUGGCUCACCAAGGCGACGAUCCCUAGCCGGUCUGAGAGAAUGACCAGCCACACUGGAACGGAGACACGGUCCAGACUCCUACGGGAGGCAGCAGUGGGGAAUAUUGCACAAUGAGGGCAGGCCUGAUACAGCCAUGCCGCGUGUAUGAAGAAGGCCUUCGGGUUGAAAAGUACUUUCAGCGGGGAGGCGUUACCCGCAGAAGAAGCACCGGCUAACUCCGUGCCAGCAGCCGCGGUAAUAC